rnacentral:lncRNA from 1 species
UUACAAAUAAAAAAAGCACCCAAAUGUUUGACUUGGGUAACAAAUCGAACCCUUGAGUUUUAAUUCGGUUCGAUGUUUCGCCCUUCUACAGCCCUAUUCGAUCCAGUUAAGGCUUAUUUUCAAGUAUAUUUAUGCCCAUGCUCCAGAAUUAAGGCUUCUUUUCAAGCAAAUACAUGCCCAUGCUGCAAGAAAAUAAGCUCUAACCGGAUCGAAUAUGGUUUUAAAAUGGGAAAAAACAUCAAACCAUGUUGUUUUCCAAAAAAAGGUUUGACGAGAACUAAUUGCUUCUGUCAACCCUAGGUGAACAGAGACUGAUAAAUAAUUUUAAUUAAAAUUCUAGGAUUCGAUUUAUUACAAUUCAAA